GGGCCUCAACUUCCAAGCUCAAAUAUGCUGGAGACGGAGGACAGCAAGGGGAAGGGAGAGAAGGCGGGGAGACAGGGGUCGGGGAAGCACGGUGGAAGGAGGGAGAGUGUUAAUCUAACAGUUUCCUCCCAGACUAAAACCUUCCAACCUAUGGGAAAGCUCUAUAAACAGAGGAAACAACUCAAAGCAGCUUGAGGAAGUCCCGUAAACUGACCAGAUUCACCAGACCCUUCCCUGCCAGUGUAAGCAAUAAAAGACGAGUCUCUUUCAGAGGAGCCAAGUUGCAAAAGCCCUCUGAGCUGCUUGGAUGAAACAGAAACACACUGAGCUGCCUGGAAGAGGUUUAGGCCAGUGGAGACAUCAGGAAAGGACACUCUACAACCUGCUGAGCUGCCACAGGCUGUGCAGUGAGCUCCAGGUUCCAAGAUUUUGUGAGCUGGGGUGAUGCAGCUGCAGAGUCAUCUCUGCUCCUGGAAGGAACCCCUCACCUGUAUUCCUUUGGAAAUACUGCCUUGAAGCUUCUCCUCCUGCCUAGAAAAGAAAACUUCAGACCCUUGACUGUUAGGGUGGAGCCUGCCUGGGAGCUCCGCAGAAGGAAGCUGCUGAGUUACCAUGGGGAAAGCUCCCAGGAUCCCUUUCACCAUCUCCUCAGGAGUAGGACCACAGCAGCACCCGCUCAGGGCCACACGGAGCAGCAGUCUGCAGACUCCACCAGGGCAGAGCCUGCAAUCUUGAGUUCUCAUCUGCAUGGAUUUUCCUGUCAUCGUUUCGUGAGAGGACAAAGGGAGCCCGCUGAGAAAGACAGUUUAUAGCACCCGAUCAUGGGGCUGUACACGUCACUCAAAGUCACUUACCCUUGUAGAGCAUAGUUCAUAAACAGGGACUGUAUUAUAAAAUCUAAAUGCUAUUAUAGAUCAGUUAUAGAACAGAAAGUUUAGUUUACUCUUAGAAGUUGGGGGGCUGGAGAAAUAGCUCAGUGGUUAAGAGCAUUUAAGGCUCUUGUAGAAGACCCAGGUUUGGUUCCCAGCUCCCCCAAUGUAGCCUGUAACCAUCUAUAAACCCAAGGGAUAUGAUGAUGUGCUCUUUGGGGCCCUCUCGAGCACCAGACACAAGGUGUGCCUAUGUACAUGCAGGUGAAACUCACACAAAAUAAAAAUAGAAAAGAAUCAUGAUA